GAGUUUUUCAGUUGAUUAUUUUUCCUUUUUAGUACUAUUUUAAACCCCAUUUGUGAUUCAUUUCGAGAAUAUAUAUACUCGAAGCCAAGUACCCCAAAAUCAGUUGAAGCUUUUUAGCCGAGAACAGUCUUUACAAUGCUUUCCCAAGUUUUGAAUGCUUUGGCUUUUGCAGCUCUUUUAGGAUUGGCUUUGGGUAAGAAUGCAUUUCCUUUUAUUUAUCUUAAAAACUAAAAGGGAGAAGUGACGAUUACAUCAUAAGGUCUAGAGAAAUUAAAUUUAUGCUUAUUUUGAUAAGAGGAUGUUCUGAUUAAAUAACUAUCAUUUUUUUUUUUAUUUUCAAGUAUUCCAAUUCAAGUAAUAGGUAUAUUAAUUAUAAAUAAUGCUAUUUAAGCAAAUAAUUAAUUUUGCUUUACUAUUGUAAAGAUAUUCUAUUUCCGUUAUUUUAGUCAACUCAUCUCACAUGAUAUUUUUAAAAAUAAAGCCAAUUUUGAUAUUUUUAAAAAUUAAACCAAUUUUAAUCAGUUCUGUAUAAGUUUAUGACCACCAAGAAAAUCUUGAGCGUUCUAAGUACAAAAAGUCAAAUUAACGCGACCUAUAGAUUAUAAUAAUCAAAUAUUCACUGCACAAUUUUUAUGUUCAAAAAGGAUAAAUAAAAUUUUAGAUUAUUUUUAAAUUAUAUGUUUAGGGGAAUAUGUAAUCCUUGUUAUGAGAAAAAUAUCUUUUUCAAACAUAAUUUCUUUAAAUAUGCUUUAAAUUUACUAUUAAUAAAUAAUCAUUUAAACUAUUAAUAACAAAACAAAUGUUAACAACCACUUCAUUCGCAUAUGCCGAAAUAUAUUCUUUUUAUUAUACUUGUGUUAAUAUUGUGUUAUAAAAAUUAAUGAAUUAUUUAUUUUUAUUACAGCUGAACGUAAGAUAUUUUAAAUGAUUUUAUUCUAUAGUUUUGUUUUUAAUGCACGUUAAUUUAUUAUAUCAUCUUUGCUGUAUUUGUUAUUAACAUGUAAAACUAAGACAAAGAAAUAUACGGAUCUGAAAUGUCUAUAAUGCUGAGCCAAAAUUUGAUGUUUGUAUAAGAAAUGUAUAACAAUGUAUAAUAUUUGUAUAACAACUUUAAAUUUAUAUUAGAAAUAUAUUUAAUUUCAUAUUAAAAAUAUAAACAUUUUUAAUGAAUAUUUUCAUAUUCCUUAAUUGUAAUAGUUUAAUUACGAUUUAAAAAAUCGUUUAUUUGAAUGAAUCCUAAAUACAAUAUAUAUAUUGAUUUUUAUUUUAUAUAUGAAUUAAUGCAUCUUUAAUUUAUAUGCAGAUUUAAAUUAUGACGGUAUUGAUUUUUUUUUAUUACAGCGGAACGUAAGAAAUAUUUAUAACUUUAUAUCCUUAAACGUUUUUUUCCUACCCCAUAAUGAUAUACUUUACUAUAUGUAAUACUAUCAUUCAAAAGUAGCUUUAAUAAGAUAUGUGCUGAUUUGUCGUUUAAAAUGUUUAAUCCGGUCACAAUGGCAAUUUAUUUGAUGAUGCCGCUAGUGUUUUGGACAACUUCUUCGGAACAGGAUAAGCUUCAUAGCCAUCCUUAAGAGAAAAUGUAGACAAUAGCAAAUCUGAGUAUGAUUGAUCAAAUUACAUAUUGAAACAAUUAUGUAUCGCUAUUUAUUUUAAGCAACCGACUGUAAUUUGCUAAACCUAAUUCCUAUAAUUUUUGCAUGCAUGCUAUUAGAUGCUUCCACAAUGUAAAAAUUUCAGAAAAUAAAUAGAAUAUUGAAAAAAAAA